ACAGGGAUUGCCCUAGUAACGGCGAGUGAAGCGGCAACAGCUCAAAUUUGAAAUCUGGCUCUUUCAGGGUCCGAGUUGUAAUUUGCAGAGGGCGCUUUGGCGUUGGCAGCGGUCCAAGUUCCUUGGAACAGGACGUCACAGAGGGUGAGAAUCCCGUACGUGGUCGCUGGCCUUCGCCGUGUAAAGCCCCUUCGACGAGUCGAGUUGUUUGGGAAUGCAGCUCUAAAUGGGAGGUAAAUUUCUUCUAAAGCUAAAUACUGGCCAGAGACCGAUAGCGCACAAGUAGAGUGAUCGAAAGAUGAAAAGCACUUUGGAAAGAGAGUCAAAAAGCACGUGAAAUUGUUGAAAGGGAAGCGCUUGCAGCCAGACUUGCCUGUAGUUGCUCAUCCGGGCUCUUGCCCGGUGCACUCUUCUAUGGGCAGGCCAGCAUCAGUUUGGGCGGUUAGAUAAAGGUCUCUGUCACGUACCUCCUCUCGGGGAGGCCUUAUAGGGGAGACGACAUGUAACCAGCCUGGACUGAGGUCCGCGCAUUCGCUAGGAUGCUGGCGUAAUGGCUGUAAGCGGCCCGUCUUGAAACACGGACCAAGGAGUCUAACAUCUAUGCGAGUGUUUGGGUGUCAAGCCCGAACGCGUAAUGAAAGUGAACGGAGGUGGGAACCCGCAAGGGUGCACCAUCGACCGAUCCUGAUGUUUUCGGAUGGAUUUGAGUAAGAGCAUGGCUGUUGGGACCCGAAAGAUGGUGAACUAUGCUUGAAUAGGGUGAAGCCAGAGGAAACUCUGGUGGAGGCUCGCAGCGGUUCUGACGUGCAAAUCGAUCGUCAAAUUUGGGCAUAGGGCGAAAGACUAAUCGAA
rnacentral:rRNA from 1 species